rnacentral:rRNA from 1 species
CACCAGAUCCCAUCAGAACUCCGCAGUUAAGCGUGCUUGGGCGAGAGUAGUACUAGGAACGGUGACUCUCCCCAUUAUAAACGUGACGAUUUUUUUAAUUGACAUCUUUCGCAGUUAAUAUCCAUAUGGGUGGGUGCACUAGGACCUCCUGGGAAAUUAGGGUGCUAAGCGGUUAAGAUACUCUCGGCGAUAUCGCAGUUAACCUGGAUUCCCUAGUAUGGGAAGUCCUAGUUAUUUCGUGGAAAAAAUAAAUAGUCCAACACUAGUGCAUCGGAUCCCACAGGGUGCUUAACUGUGGAGUUCUCACUAAUCGUUUCGCUCCUGGCACGGAGUUAACGAAAGGGAGUUAGAUCAUUUAAUUUUGCAGAGGUAUGAUUUUACUUUUUUAUGAAAAGGGAAAUAUUGGAACCUUGCGGGUGCGAUCAUACCAGACUAA